GAUGAACGCUGGCGGCGUGCCUAAUACAUGCAAGUCGAGCGAACAGACGAGGAGCUUGCUCCUCUGACGUUAGCGGCGGACGGGUGAGUAACACGUGGAUAACCUACCUAUAAGACUGGGAUAACUUCGGGAAACCGGAGCUAAUACCGGAUAAUAUAUUGAACCGCAUGGUUCAAUAGUGAAAGACGGUUUUGCUGUCACUUAUAGAUGGAUCCGCGCCGCAUUAGCUAGUUGGUAAGGUAACGGCUUACCAAGGCAACGAUGCGUAGCCGACCUGAGAGGGUGAGCGCCCCCCCUGGAACUGCGACACGGUCCAGACUCCGACGGGAGGCAGCAGUAGGGAAUCUUCCGCAAUGGGCGAAAGCCUGACGGAGCAACGCCGCGUGAGUGAUGAAGGUCUUCGGAUCGUAAAACUCUGUUAUUAGGGAAGAACAAAUGUGUAAGUAACUAUGCACGUCUUGACGGUACCUAAUCAGAAAGCCACGGCUAACUACGU
rnacentral:rRNA from 1 species